CUAUGUCGGGCACGGAUAAGUGCUGAAAGCAUCUAAGCACGAAGCCAACCCCAAGAUAAGAACUCAUCAAGAUUUCCUGUAGACCACAGGAUUGAUAGGCUGCAGGUGUAAGGCCAGUAAUGGCUUUAGCCGAGCAGUACUAAUAAAUCGAAAUCUCAAU
rnacentral:rRNA from 1 species